rnacentral:rRNA from 1 species
GACGAACGCUGGCGGCGUGCUUAACACAUGCAAGUCGAGCGGAAAGGCCCUUCGGGGUACUCGAGCGGCGAACGGGUGAGUAACACGUGAGCAACCUGCCCUGGACUUUGGGAUAACCCUCGGAAACGGGGGCGUAAUACCGGAUAUUACUUCUGCCCGCAUGGGUGGUGGUGGAAAGUUUUUCGGUUCUGGGAGUGGGCGUCGCGGCCUAUCAGCUUGUUGGUGGGGUGAUGGCCUACCAAGGCGACGACGGGUAGCCGGCCUGAGAGGGCGACCGGCCACACUGGGACUGAGACACGGCCCAGACUCCUACGGGAGGCAGCAGUGGGGAAUAUUGCACAAUGGGCGGAAGCCUGAUGCAGCGACGCCGCGUGAGGGAUGACGGCCUCGGUU